rnacentral:rRNA from 1 species
UACGUAGGGUGCAAGCGUUGUCCGGAAUUAUUGGGCGAAAGAGCUCGUAGGCGGUUUGUUGCGUCGGCUGUGAAAUCCCGAGGCUCAACCUCGGGUCUGCAGUCGAUACGAGCAAACUAGAGUGUUGCAGGGGAGACUGGAAUUCCUGGUGUAGCGGUGAAAUGCGCAGAUAUCAGGAGGAACACCGGUGGCGAAGGCGGGUCUCUGGGGCAACAACUGACGCUGGAGGAGCGAAAGCGUGGGGGAGCGAACAGG